rnacentral:rRNA from 1 species
UACGUAGGGGGCAAGCGUUGUCCGGAUUUAUUGGGCGUAAAGAGCGUGUAGGCGGUUUGGUAGGUCCGCUGUGAAAACUCGAGGCUCAACCUCGAGACGCCGGUGGAAACCAUCAGACUAGAGUCCGGAAGAGGCGAGUGGAAUUCCUGGUGUAGCGGUGAAAUGCGCAGAUAUCAGGAGGAACACCAAUGGCGAAGGCAGCUCGCUGGGACGGUACUGACGCUGAGACGCGAAAGCGUGGGGAGCAAUCCGG